rnacentral:misc_RNA from 1 species
AGCAGCCGCGGUAAUUCCAGCUCCAAUAGCGUAUAUUAAAGUUGUUGCAGUUAAAAAGCUCGUAGUUGAAUUUCGGGAUUGACGUGAUGGUCGUGCCUUAAGGGGUAUGAACUGUUGCUGUUGAUUUCUCACCUUCUGGAGAAACUUGAUGUCCUUAAUUGGGUGUCUUGCGGAUCCAGGACCUUUACCUUGAAAAAUUAGAGUGUUUAAAGCAGGCAUUUUGCUCGAAUACAUUAGCAUGGAAUAAUAGAAUAGGACGGCAUGGUUCUAUUUUGUUGGUUUCUAGGAUCACCGUAAUGAUUAAUAGGGAUAGUUGGGGGCAUUAGUAUUCAAUUGUCAGAGGUGAAAUUCUUGGAUUUAUUGAAGACUAACUACUGCGAAAGCAUUUGCCAAGGAUGUUUUCAUUAAUCAAGAACGAAAGUUAGGGGAUCGAAGACGAUCAGAUACCGUCGUAGUCUUAACCAUAAACUAUGCCGACUAGGAA